AGAAACUUCUCCACCACCUGCCGAGACACUGUGGUUCCCUCUCAGCCCAGGGCUAGGAGGAAGACUCUUCCUAGGACUCCUUGCAUCUGCUGUACCCACCUAUAUUCUUCAGGGCUAUCUUUACAACUUACUAGCCAACCUUUUGCUACUCUAAUCUGCUAUUAAGGUUAAUGAUUAAACAUAUUAAACAUUUCCAUUCAAAUGACUGUGUGGUUUCUCUCUCCUAGUUGGACCCAGACUGACACUCUUGCCUGAGGGCACAGACCAGGGAGCAGCAAUCAAUACUGGACACCAGGCAGCUUCCACGCUUGACAGUGUUGCCAGACCCUCGCGUGGGCAGGAGGGCACAGGUCUGAUGCCGUGUGUGCUGAUGUGAGAUCUCUAAUUCAUACUGGAGGGCAAGGCAGAGAGGGCACGUGUCAGGAGAGAACCCCAGGGUAGAGUUUUAAACAGUUUGCAGCAGAUAUGUAAAAGAAAGGCAUUUCAGAAAGAGGGGACAGUAUGUACAGCAGCGGGAGGAGGGAAGGAAGGGUGACAACUUCAGGGAAGGGACAGAGGUA
rnacentral:lncRNA from 1 species